GACGAACGCUGGCGGCGUGCCUAAUACAUGCAAGUAGAACGCUGACGGCGGAGCUUGCUCUUCUGGGUGAGUUGCGAACGGGUGAGUAACGCGUAGGUAACCUGCCUGGUAGCGGGGGAUCACUAUUGGACACGAUAGCUCAUACCGCAUAAGAGUAGAUGUUGCAUGACAUUUACUUAAAAGGUGCACUUGCUUCACUACUAGAUGCACCUGCGUUGUAUUAGCUAUAUGGUGGGGUAACGGCUUACCAAGCCGACGUUACCUAGCCGACCUGCGAGGGUGAUCGGCCAUACUGGGACGGAGAGAAGGCCCAGACCCCGACGGGAGGCAGCAGGAGGGAAUCUUCGGCAAUGGACGGAAGGCUGAACGAGCAACGCCGGGGGAGUGAAGAAGGUUUUCGGAUCGGAAAGCUCUGUUGUAAGAGAAGAACGAGUGUGAGAGUGGAAAGUGCACACUGUGACGGUAUCUUAGCAGAAAGGGACGGCUAACUACGUG
rnacentral:rRNA from 1 species